UACGUAGGUGGCGAGCGUUGUCCGGAUUUACUGGGCGUAAAGGGAGCGUAGGCGGACUUUUAAGUGAGAUGUGAAAUACCCGGGCUCAACUUGGGUGCUGCAUUUCAAACUGGAAGUCUAGAGUGCAGGAGAGGAGAAUGGAAUUCCUAGUGUAGCGGUGAAAUGCGUAGAGAUUAGGAAGAACACCAGUAGCGAAGGCGAUUCUCUGGACUGUAACUGACACUGAGGCUCGAAAGCGUGGGGAGCAAACAGGAUUAGAUACCCGUGUA
rnacentral:rRNA from 1 species